GACGUAGGGCGCGAGCGUUUGUCCGGAUUUAUUGGGCGUAAAGAGCUCGUAGGCGGUCUGUUGCGUCCGCUGUGAAAACUCGGGGCUUAACCCCGAGCCUGCAGUGGAUACGGGCAGACUAGAGGUAGGUAGGGGAGAAUGGAAUUCCAGGUGUAGCGGUGAAAUGCGUAGAUAUCUGGAGGAACACCGGUGGCGAAGGCGGCAUCCUGGACCGAUACUGACGCUGAGGAGCGAAAGCCAGGGGAGCAAAGCGGG
rnacentral:rRNA from 1 species